UGCUAGUCUAUAAUGACCUGACUAAAUGUGCUUUUAAAUCCAUUUUUGCCUAGGUACACCUCAAACCAAUCUGGCAUAGCUGGGUUACUACAAAGACCCCCUGUGCUGUGAUGCCAGCCCAGUGAAUCAAAUCUAAUAACCCAGAGUGGGAUUUAAUAAGCCUUGACAGCAGGAACACUCCAUGCCAGCAAGGCAGAUUGAUCCAACUUCUUUCCCCUUUGCUCUCGCAGAUGCACACACACGAGGACAAACCUUGUGAAGAACGACUGCCAGACGAAGAGCUCCCUCAACACUGAGACACUAAUGACUUCCUGAGUCUCUCCACAGGCUUUGGAUGUCAGCCAUUGUCCUGUGCCUGUCUCUGUGUCCUGAAGGUGAAACUGCAGUCACUGAAUACUUUACUCAGUCAAAGGAUGCCUUCCCAGAACAGAACCCAGACAUGUGAGCAGCUGGCUGGACACAACAAAGCCCAAUAGAAGGCUUCUCUCCAGUGGUUUCUUCCUGCCUGUUUUUCAUGGUGCUGGUUGCAUAGAUAACAAGAAAAGAUUCAGGAGAGAGGAAAGCAACCAGAUAUGUGUCAGGAGCUGGGACCUCGAAAUAGCCACCGUACUGAGGCAGAAGCAACAGCCUCGAAAUCUUGUCUGCAAAAGAAGAGGGAAGGUCGUUCGUUGGUCCCCAGGUCCAGAUGCAAAGAGGCACAGAAGAAGCACUACUCCUGGCACCCCUGAUGGCCCUGCUCCCUCCCGAUGACUCACGCUGAUUCCGCGGAGGCCUGGCUAUUCCUGCUAGGUCAUGCCAUCACUACUGACCCAUGAGCUGGACGGCUGAGAUAUUCAUGAAGUGUUCGUGAGUGGACCAAGCUGCUGCCAUUGCUCAUCUAUGAACUGAUCUGCUGAUUUCCUGACAACACAGAUGGGAUUUGCUCCAAAGAACUUUUCUAAACAGGUCCGCUUUUCUGUACCCUUUAUUUCCCACUACUUCGGGUGGGUGGGCUAGAAGGGAGGGUGAAGCAUUUAAGAACCUUCAUUCAAAGUAAGGUUGAGAAAAUCUGAAGCCUACGGGGUUCCUUUUUUCUUUCCUGCCCACCCUCUCAGCCUUUCCUUCUAGUCUACCUCCAUUCCUUUGUGUCAACUGCCAAUUUGCAUAAACACUUUCUACCAGGGACUCUUAGUGGGCACACUGUGCUGGAAGAGUGUAGGUAAUUUUCACUAUCUUUCCUGCCCCCACCCCCUAUUCUACUCUCUCCAUAAUUAAACUUGUAUCAGCCUGUCUGCAGGAGCCCCUCCUCCCACCAGAUCAUCACUCCUUCAGAACUCCACCUCUUGGUGUAUAACUCUGAUCCAUAGCUAUUUCUUGCUGUUCUUCUCAGCCUUUCCUUCUAUCCCAUCUGCAUCCCUUCUAUCCCAUCUGCAUUCAUCAAACUAGAAAAGUAUUCACUAACAGGGAUGCCACAGCCACUAAACUUGACUAUGAUCCACAGUAGGCAGUAACAAGCA